UACGGGGGGGGCAAGCGUUGUUCGGAAUUACUGGGCGUAAAGGGCGCGUAGGCGGUCAGACCAAGUCGAGUGUGAAAUUCCAGGGCUUAACUCUGGCACGCUCGCUCGAUACUGGUCGGCUAGAGUGUGGGGAGAGGGACGCGGAAUUCCAGGUGUAGCGGUGAAAUGCGUAGAUAUCUGGAGGAACACCGGUGGCGAAGGCGGCUCACUGGCCCGGUACUGACGCUGAGGUGCGAAAGCGUGGGGGAGCAACAGG
rnacentral:rRNA from 1 species